AAGGAGAGAGGGAGGCGGCAACAGGAUGUGGAUAAGACAGGGAGAGGAGCGGACGAGGUAAAUUGUGUUGGGAUAAUUUUUCGAGUUCGGGGAAGCUCAUCACCGACGAUUCCUAUUAGGAGCUAGCGGUGAUACCACGUCGGUUCCUCUAAAACCGGCUGUGAUAGGCCGUGUGCGAUGGCUUGGUCUGCAGUAGCGAGGUACUUUAUUUUUGUUUUGGAGAACAAUGAUACAGUGG
rnacentral:lncRNA from 1 species